rnacentral:rRNA from 1 species
UUUAGAGGAAGUAAAAGUCGUAACAAGGUUUCCGUAGGUGAACCUGCGGAAGGAUCAUUAUUGAAAUAAACCUGAUGGGUUGUUGCUGGCUCUCUAGGGAGCAUGUGCACACUUGUCAUCUUUAUAUCUCCACCUGUGCACCUUUUGUAGAUCUGGAUAUCUUUCUGAAUGCCUGGCAUUCAGGUUUGGGGAUUGACUUUUGUCUUUCCUUACAUUUCCAGGCCUAUGUUUUCUUCAUAUACACCAUUUAUUGUUAUAGAAUGUAAUGAAAAGGGCCUUUGUGCCUACAAACUUUAUACAACUUUCAGCAACGGAUCUCUUGGCUCUCGCAUCGAUGAAGAACGCAGCGAAAUGCGAUAAGUAAUGUGAAUUGCAGAAUUCAGUGAAUCAUCGAAUCUUUGAACGCACCUUGCGCUCCUUGGUAUUCCGAGGAGCAUGCCUGUUUGAGUGUCAUUAAUAUAUCAACCUCCUCAGGUUUUGACUUGUCGAGUGUUUGGAUGUGGGGGUCUUUUGCUGGUCUCUUUUGAGGUCGGCUCCCCUAAAAUGCAUUAGCGGAACAAUUUGUUGACCCGUUCAUUGGUGUGAUAACUAUCUACGCUUUUGACGUGAUACAGGUUCAGCUUCUAACAGUCCAUUGACUUGGACAAAUUUUCAUUAAUGUGACCUCAAAUCAGGUAGGACUACCCGCUGAACUUAAGCAUAUCAAUAAGCGGAGGAAAAGAAACUAACA